rnacentral:snoRNA from 1 species
AUGCAGGUAAAGUUACAAUGUAGCUGUGAAGUGCUGUGUUGUCGUUCCCCCUGCAUAAAACAAAAUUGUCUCUAUUCUAUCUUUGUCUGUUUUGAUUCCGUAGCAGACAAAGACGCUUGGUUUCAUACAU